CCGAUAAUCGAUAGGGGCCGUGAGAGCGGGAGCCCCGAGAUGGGUACUUAGACAGCGACCCAGGCCUUACGAGGCGCAGCAGGCGCGGAACCUCCGCAAUACACGAAAGUGUGACGGGGUUACCCAGAGUGUUCUCUUAAGAACUGUGGCGAGUGAGUAAUGUUCCUCGCUAGAAAGGAGAGGGCAAGGCUGGUGCCAGCCGCCGCGGUAAAACCAGCUCUUCAAGUGGUCGGGAUAAUUAUUGGGCUUAAAGUGUCCGUAGCCGGUUUUAGUAAGUUCCUGGUAAAAUCGGGUAGCUUAACUAUCUGUAUGCUAGGAAUACUGCUAUACUAGAGGGCGGGAGAGGUCUGAGGUACUACGGGGGUAGGGGUGAAAUCUUAUAAUCCUUGUAGGACCACCAGUGGCGAAGGCGUCAGACUGGAACGCGCCUGACGGUGAGGGACGAAAGCCAGGGGAGCGAACCGGAUUAGAUACCCGGGUAGUCCUGGCCGUAAACGAUGCAUACUAGGUGAUGGCACGGCCAUGAGCCAUGUCAGUGCCGUAGGGAAACCGUUAAGUGUGCCGCCUGGGAAGUACGGUCGCAAGGCUAAAACUUAAAGGAAUUGGCGGGGGAGCACCACAAGGGGUGAAGCCUGCGGUUCAAUUGGACUCAACGCCGGGAAACUUACCAGGGGAGACAGUAGGAUGAUGGUCAGGUUGACGACCUUACCUAACGAGCUGAGAGGAGGUGCAUGGCCGUCGCCAGUUCGUGCUGUGAGGUAUCCUGUUAAGUCAGGCAACGAACGAGAUCCGCACCUUUAUUUGCCACCAAGAAGUUACGACUUAGUAGCCAACACUAAAGGGACCGCCGUUCGAUAAGACGGAGGAAGGAGCGGGCAAAGGCAGGUCAGUAUGCCCCGAAACCCCUGGGCUACACGCGGGCUGCAAUGAUAUGAACAAUGGGCUGUGACUCCGAAAGGAGAAACCAAUCCCGAAAUCAUAUCACAGUGGGGAUUGUCGGCUGUAACCCGCUGACAUGAACGUGGAAUCCCUAGUAAU
rnacentral:rRNA from 1 species